rnacentral:rRNA from 1 species
AGUGAACGCUGGCGGUAGGCCUAACACAUGCGAGUCGAACGGCAGCACAGUAAGAGCUUGCUCUUACGGGUGGCGAGUGGCGGACGGGUGAGGAAUACAUCGGAAUCUACUUUUUCGUGGGGGAUAACGUAGGGAAACUUACGCUAAUACCGCAUACGACCUACGGGUGAAAGUAGGGGAUCUUCGGACCUUGCGCGAUUGAAUGAGCCGAUGUCGGAUUAGCUAGUUGGCGGGGUAAAGGCCCACCAAGGCGACGAUCCGUAGCUGGUCUGAGAGGAUGAUCAGCCACACUGGAACUGAGACACGGUCCAGACUCCUACGGGAGGCAGCAGUGGGGAAUAUUGGACAAUGGGCGCAAGCCUGAUCCAGCCAUACCGCGUGGGUGAAGAAGGCCUUCGGGUUGUAAAGCCCUUUUGUUGGGAAAGAAAAGCAGCAGGUUAAUACCCCGCUGUUCUGACAGUACCCAAAGAAUAAGCACCGGCUAACUUCGUG